rnacentral:tRNA from 1 species
UCCCGGGUGGCUCAGACGGUAAAGAAUCUGCUUCCAAUGCAGGAGACCUGGGUUCGAUUCCUGGGUCAGGAA